rnacentral:lncRNA from 1 species
CUUAAGGGGGACCCAUGGGUGUCCUCACAAUGCGGUGCCGCGCAGCGCCAGGCCAUCUCCGGGGAUCACGUCUUAACUGGAAUGGGACUUUUGACGGGCAGAAUUGGAAGUGCAGUCCAAGAAAGGCGUGCGGACAUAGAGAGCAAGUUGUGGUGUCUGGUCGUUCAAACGCCUCUGGAAAGGUUCUCCAAGAAGCCUCUCUUCACCUCCUCCUUCCCUAUGAGUUCUCAUACCACACCGGAGAUCUGGCAUGGAGGAGUGGCAAAUAUUUGCAAUAGGCAAAAGAGAUGACUCAGUCAAGUGCUGCACAUCAAGGACCUGAGUUCAAAUCGCCAGAACACAGUAAAAGAAACUGACUACAUGGAUUUCCAGUCUUUUCACCCCAACUUUGAAAUGCUACAAAUCCAAUGUAACAGACAAGGAUCUCUGCAGCUGGUCUCUUUCCAUCCUCUGCCAUUUUGUAACAUCUCCAGGUCCUCUCUAUGUCUGGAUCAGGUAAACUGUGUCUCUAGUUCUUUUGUUCUGCCCCAAAGCUUUUCUCCACUUCAGAUCCCAGGUUCUCUGAUAGUUCUACAGAUGAAGUUAAAUCAGUCAUACCACUGCAUACAGUCCUUCAGAGUGCUGGUCCCAGUAGCAGCACCAAGCCUCUCCCUGUGCCAUUUUUCUUUCUUUUCCUCUUUUUUUUUUUUUUAAAUCAGUAUUUGACUCUUCUAGCC